rnacentral:rRNA from 1 species
AGUGAACGCUGGCGGCGUGCCUAAUACAUGCAAGUCGAACGGAGUGGAGCACGGGGGAGUAAUGUAUAGCUAAUCUGGCCUACACUAGAGGACAACAGUUGGAAAAGACUGCUAAUACUCUAUAUUUAAGGAUGAGGCUAUAUUGUAUCAGCUAGUUGGUGAGGUAAUGGCUCACCAAGGCUAUGACGCAUAACUGGUCUGAGAGGAUGAUCAGUCACCCUGGAACUGAGACACGGUCCAGACUCCUACGUGAGUCAGCAGUAGGGAAUAUUGCUCAAUCCGGGUAUCUCUGAAGCAGCAACGCCGCGUGGAGGAUUACACUUUUCGGAGCGUAAACUCCUUUUGUUAUGGAAGCGUUACCUACCGAUUACGCACCGGCUAACUCCGUGCCAGCAGCCGCGGUAAUAC